rnacentral:lncRNA from 1 species
CCCUGCUCACUCUCACUCCAUCCUGCUGCCCUGUGAAGAAGGUGCCUGCUUCUCCUUUGGCUUCUGUAAUGAUUCUAAGUUUCCUGAGGCUUCCCCAGCAAUGUGGAACUAUUAGCUGGGCGUGGUGGUGGAUGUCUGUAGUCCCAGGUAUUCGGGAGGCUGAGGCAGGAGAAUUGCUUGAACCCGGGAGGCGGAGGUUGCAGUGAGCUGAAAUCGUGCCACUGCACUCCAGCCUGGGUGACAGAGCAAGACUCUGUCUCAAAAAAAAAAAAAAAAGGGACCUGGAAUGCUUCGUGGGGGUGUCGCAAGGUCUCGGAGCCUAUGGAAUCUGGUUCUGGAGCUGGGCAGGGCUUCCACUGGGCUCUGCAGUCCUGGGCCGGGAGCUGGCUCAUUUGUUUAUGGGACAUUUGCUUCCUGGGAGUCUACAGUGUGGUGGUCCCUGCCCUGGGUGCUGGACACAGCAGCAAACAAGGCAGACACAGCCCGCCCUUGUAGCAUGGACUUCUGCUCACAGCGCUGGGCACGUGCCUGGGUGUAAAACCACAACUGUGAUCAGUGGAAUGGGCGGGGGUGUCCUGUGAGUGUCCGAGAUAGGCAUUGAUUGGGUCGUGGAGGCUAGUGGGUCACGCUGAGGUCUGAUGGCUGAGUAGAAUUUGCCUGGCCGGGUGGGAGGGAAAGGACAAGAGGAAGCAGCAAGAGCCUGUGCACAGGCCCUGUUGGGGUAAGGGACAUGGUAAGUUCCAGAACUGCAGGAAGGCCUUGGAGGGCUGGAGCUCGGAGGAGGGCAUGUGGGGAGGAUAGGAAGUUAGGGAGCGGGCGGUAGGGUUGCUAGACUCAGUAAAUGUAAAUACAGGAUGCCCAGUUAAACUUGAAUUUCAGGAAAAAGUCAAAUACUUUUUUAGUAUAAGUGUGUCUCAAGUGCUGUAUGGGACAUACUUAUACAUACUCACACUAGAAAAGUAUUCAUUGUUGAGCACAGCAUGCUGGCUCACACCUUGAAUCCCAGCACUUUGGGAGGAUGAGGUUGGAGAAUCUCUUGAGCCCAGGAGUUCAAGACCAGCCUAGCAAUAUAGCAAGAGCCCCCAUCUCUAAAAAAAAAAAUUAAAAAUUAGCUGGGCAGAGUGGCACAUGCCUGUAGUCUUAGCUACUCAGGAGGCUGAGGUGAGGAUCACAUGAGCCCAGGAGUUCGGGCUGCAGUAACCCGUGAUCACACCGCUGCACUCCAAGCCUUGGUGACAAAGUGAGACCCUGUCUCAAAAAUACUACUACUACUGGGCUGGGCGCCAUAAGAGUGAGACCCUUCCUCAAAAAAACAAAACAAAACAAAAACUACUACUACUGAUAAUAAUAACUCGUUGUUUAUCUGAAAUUCUAAUUUAAUGGCAUCUUGUUUUCUAUUUGGUAACCCUAUGAGCAGGGUCUUGCAGAACAGGGCAAUGAACUUGUUCUCAAACCAGGAACAACGGUGGGCUGUAGAGCUACGCUGGGAGCAGCAGUAUCCAGGCAGCAUUUGGAGGUUAGCUGCAUGCUGGGGAGAACGGAUGGGAGCGCGCGAGGGGCAGAGAAGGACUGGUGAAGGCUGCUGCAGUGCCCAGGGGAGCCCCUGAGCAUCGGAGGCUUGGGGAGGCCCCAGGUGCUGCGGGGUGGAGAAAUGCACUGGAGUGGAAUCUUGCCUGUGUCUGCUACUAGAAGGGAAGCUGCCCUUUGUCACAGGGCGAUCACUCACUGGGUGCCGGAGGAUGUGGUACUGACGAAGCGGCCAGGCUGGGAUCCUUGCUUGAUGUCACUUGAUAGCUCCUUGAUGUCACUAAGAGCCAUCAUCCUGCUCACAGCCCCUCCCCACCCCAAAAUGAGAGCUGCUCAGCCCAGACAGACGUCUUACCCUCUGCUUGUUUUUGUGAUUCAAAAAUGAGUCAUCCACCCCAGGCAAGAGCAGGCUGAGGACCUUUUCCUUGGCUGGGAGUUUGGGGGUUGGGUGGCUCUUCCGGAGGCUACAGGGUUCAGACAGCGUCUUGUCUGCAAGAUUAAUUCCUUCCAGUGCAAGAAACUUAAAGGGGCCAGAUGCGGUGGCUCACACCUGUAAUCCCAGCGCUUUGGGAGUCCAAGCUGGGAGGAUCACAUGAGCCUAGGAGUUCAAGAUCAGCUUGGGCAACAUAGCAAGACGCCAUCUCUACAAAAAUAAGCAAAAUUAGCUUAGCUGAGCAUGGUUGCGUGCACUUGUAGUCCCAGCUAUUCAGGAGGCUGAGGCAGGAGGAUCACUUGAGCUCAGGAGUUUUAGGCUGCAGUGAGCUGUGCUUGUGCCACUGACCAUCAGCCUGGACAACAGUUCUGUAAGAUGAGAACAAGAAUAGUGCCUGGUUCCUGGGGCUGUUCCAGGAUUAAAUGAGACAGAGCUUAUGAAAAAUCUUGGGAUAUAGUAGAUGCUCAGUUAAUGUUAUUUGCUUUCUUCCCUCCCUGUCAUGUCAACAGAGAAGCUGGCAAGGUGAAAGUCAAGAGCAGGAGGUCAGAAAACAUGUUCCUGUCAAAGCCCAGAUGGAAAAUACUCUAGGCUUUGCGGGCCAGACAGAAGCCGCCACAGGCAACAUGCAAAUAACGAAGGAUGGCCGUGUUCCCAUAAAACUUCAUUUAUUGACUCCGCUGUUUGAGUUUCAAAUAAUCUUCAUGUAAUUUUCAAAUGUCACAUGACAUUAGAUUUUCCCCCCAACCAUUUAGCUAUGUAAACACUAGUUUUAGCUCAUGGAGUGCACAGAAACGGGCUGUGGGCUGCACGUGGCCCUUGGGCUGCAGUUUGCAACCCCUGCCGAGAGUGAGGUUACCAUCUGGCUGAUCUGUGAGUUUUCUGACUCUAUGAAGGAGGCGGUGAGGUUGUCAGAGUCUUGAACUAGAUAGAACCAAACUCAAAGUUUUAUCUUUUCCUAAGUUUCCAGAACCAAAAAUAUUCCUUGUGAGCCAACCUGAACUGCAAAGAUACUGAUAUAUUUUCUAGAAUUCUUUACUGGAAGCUCCCCACUGCUCCUCAAACUGUACCUGAAUCAAAUCAGUGAGUCCUGCUGGAGUCCCUGGAGCUCCUGGAGCUGGGGCUUAAAAGGGUGAGAAGGGCCUGGGGCAGACCUGGUUUUUAGUAUUGAAAGUCCCACAACCCUGGGACCCCCUCAAUCCAAGGCAAACUGGGCCGAUUGGUCACGGGAUAAGUGGAUUAAUUUCUCCGGAAUUUCAGGCCCCUGGAUGCUUUCCUUCCCCAUCAUCUCAGGGAUGUAGCCCUCUGGGGCCCCUGGAGGCUUUCCUUCCCCAUCAUCUUGGGGGUGGGGGGCACCCUCUGUGUGCUCAGAUCCCCAGUGCCCUGUCCACCAUGGUUAGGGGGACUAGGGCGCCCUGUCGCUUCUCAGCCUUUCGGCUAAGAUCAAGUGUGGAAAGGGGGCCCUGUGGGAGGCUCAUUUUCCAGCAGCCACAAUCCCCAGGGCGGUGUGGGACCUGCAUCUGGUACCGCAGGAAGCACAGCUCAUUGCGGUGGGGGUCAGGUGUGAUGGGAUGGCCUGAAGGUCAGUUGUGGUGUGUGGGAUGGGGGACCUAGAAGAUUCCUUGUCCCUUAGCCCUGACCUGUUGGCUGGGAGACGGAGAGAGGGCAGGAGGCUUGAGCUUGGCUUGCGAGAGGCCACCAGGGUGACGGACUCAUCCCAGUUUCAUCCCAGUUGGGAUCGACUGUCCCACUAUCAACAGUGAAUGUCCUGCAUCCUGGGAGCUCCCUCAAUCCCCAGCAAACUGGGAUAGUUGGUCACCUUAGAGGUCACCUUAGCCUCUGGCAGGAGACAGCAGAGCCUGUUCCCAGUGCCCUGGCUGCUCCAGAUGUCUUGGGGACCAUUGGCCUUGCAGGUGCCGAUCGUGAAGGCCCAGAAGGCAGGCCUAGUGGGGUCUAGCCUCCCUUCUUCAUAGCUGCAUGACCCAGGACAGUCCCUCUACCCACUGAGCCUCAGUGUUUUAAUCAGUAAAGAGGGUAUUGUCAAGCAAGAACCUCUGAGCCUGUGGUGUGAAAGUUUUAGAGUACAGAAUGGGUGCUUUGUGGAACAAGCUCUGAUGAGGAUGAAGUAGAAGAUGGUGCAACAAGCUGGGAUGCACCGUGACUCAGUUCUUGCUUGCUUGAGAGGAAAAGAAAAGACAUGCCAAAGGAAAAGCAAGAGAUCUCAGUCCUGGGGCUGGUGAUGGGUCCUGAGACGGGUGUCUGGGUGGCCAGGCUGGGAGGUGAGGACUCUGGUCUGAGGAGGGGGCUCAGGAGCUGCUGCACCCCAAGCCCUGCUGGUCCCAGUGAUUUCAUGCAUGACCCAGGCACACCCAGGGCCUGGGUUGGGACAGAGGGGUGAUGCUUUAAGACUUGCUGUCAGCAGGUGGGUAGGCUGUGCCAGGGCGGGAAGAAGACAUCAUGCCAGCUUCCUCCCCCAUAGCUGAUGUGGAAAGAAUGAGGCCCCUGGGCCCCCCUCACCAAAGGCGAGACCUUCCUCAGCGAAGCCUGCCCCUGAGCCAGACAAGUGGUAGCUUCCAGACCAGCCCUGAACAGGAGAAAUGACAAUCGCUAACCCCAGAUUUUACUCUCUUCUGUGUAUUUAUUCCAGUUAGUUCAUGCUCCUAACUGGCGCCUUCCAGCAGUAUUCAACAUUUGAUGCGACUCUUUUUGUUGUUAGGUGUUCCUGCAAAAGACAUAUUGUUGUUUUGUCUGUGCAUGUAUUUUACUUUAUGGGACCGACAGAUGUGACAUAGAUCUCAUUGUUUCUUCUCUUUUCUCACUCAACAUCACAUCUUAAAGCACAUCCAUGUUGCUGUGUGUACAUUGGGUCCAUUGCAUCUCAGCAGUCUAGGGGGUUCAUCUCCCAGAGAUGGCUGGCCGGGGGGUCUCCAGGACCCACACCACAUGCAGAUAUGUGAUGCACAUUCUCAGACACAUCUACCUCUGGAAGUGAGUAUGGUUUAUUGGGCAUAGAGGCCCAGAAGUCAGAGCUGCUAGAAUGCCAGAAAAUCUACUAGAUCCUACAACUCCCUGGGCAGAGCCCAAGAACUCCUACAUCCUUACAUGCCCUCCCAAUCCCUGGCAAUAACUGCCUUUUAAAUUCUUGUCAGUUAUUGUUUCAUUUGCAUAUCUCUGACUACUAAUGAAUUUAACAACUUUCAUAUGUUUAUCAGCUCUUUAGGUUUCCUUGUCUGUAAAUUUGCCUGUUCGUAUCUUUCAUCCAUUUUCCCAUUGGGGUUCCUCUCUUUUUUUUGUUUAUGUGCCAGGUUCUUGAUAAAAUCCACAUAUUACUCCCCUGUUGAUUUUAGAUAUUAUAAAUAUCUUUUCUCAAGUUAUCAUUGUUCUGUUAAUUUUGUCGAAGGUAUCUUUUGUCAGCUGAUGAAGCAGAAAUUCUCAGUUUUGAUGUAAUUAAAUGAAUCAGGUUUUGGCUUUAUGGUUUGUGCUCUUGAAAUUUUGUUUCAUAAACCAUUCGCAAUGUCUAGGUCACAAAGCUAUUAUCCCCAUUUUCUUGCACGCUAACAUUUGGUUUUUCCUUUUAAGUAAGGUCUUUGAUUUCUAUGGAGUCCACUUUAUGUGUUGUAUUAGGCAGGUCAAUGCCUAUUUUUCUUUAGCUCUCAAGUCCAUUAUUCCAACAUCUAUAAAAUGACCCCAUAGAUUUCCGGCCCCUGCAUCACCACAUCUUGAGUCCCUGUCGGUACAUGGGACUUUCUCUGCCGGGCUGCUUUGGUCUAUGUGUCUGUCCUUGUAUUAGUACUGCAUGGUUUUUAUGACUGUGUCUUUGUAGUGGGUGUUAUGAGGCAAGAGGCACUUGGGGUACCCUAGUCCUGGCCCUGGGGAAGACUCCUUUUUACUCUCCUUUUGCAAAGUGGGUUUAGCUCUUCUUCAUGGAUUAUUAUUCCUCCAUCUAAAUGAAUGUUAGUUUCAUCAAAAUCAAACUUGAUCAGUUUGAUUAAAGUUGUACUGAAUUUAUAGGUUCAACAUAUGAAUCAGAGCAAGAUACAUCUGUUUAUUCAAGUCAUCUUUUAUUCAAAUUAAAUUUUUUUUCUACAUAGAGCUCUUUUGUGCUCUUGGUGAAAUAAACUCUCAGGAAUGUUCUAGUUUUGAUUGCUCUUGCGAAAGUUAUCUUCCUUUUAAAAAGCCCAAUUUCAUAGAAAGAUAUCUUUCCUAAAGUUUUAUUUUCUAGUUCAAUACUAGAAAGUGUAGAGCAGUGCUUUUGAGUUUUAUCAGUCGAUCUUGCUUCUAGCAUUUCUGCUGCUUUGUUAUCAGUUGGAUAUUGGGGUGUUGUUCUGUGCCUGACACUGUGCUGGCCCCUUUCAGAUUGCCUCCGCACCCUGAGCCCAAUAGAUAGGAGUAUGUCUGGGGGAGCUGUCUACACCAGCCAGAACACCUCCAGAUAAAGGAGAACGGAAUUUGUUAUUGAGUGCACUCAAGCUGGAGUGUCUUUGUGCAAAAAAAAACCAUAGAUCUGAUUGUCGUUUAGAGAAAUGAAGAGGUGGGGGUGUCUGCUCAGCUAGAAAGGGCUGGAGGCAACUUGGGUAAACUCUCACUUGAGUUUAACUUGCUUAAUAAAUGGCCCCUACCCUCAAAUCCCAAAGAGAUCAUCCUACAUGUGUUCCCAUGCUAACAUGUAGAUUUCCUUAAACAUUUAGGUACUCAGUUCACCUGGAGUCCACCUGUAUGCAGUUUAAGCAGGUACACCAUUGUAUUCUUUAUAUAGGGAGAUGGUUUUCCUAACAUCAUGUACAAAACUUGGGGUCCCUGUUUGUUUUCCCCACCCUACCUCAGGUGAGGGUUUGAGGCUGAGAUUUUUCACCUGUGCAGGUAGCAUUUCCCCAGACUGUCAGCUCCAGGGCAGGAAUCACAUCUUGUUUAUUUACCUUUGGAGACUGGAAAGUCCAUGGGGCAGGGCUUUUGUCUGUUCUGUCUACCACAUCCCACUGCAUUCCUCAGCACCUCCCGGGCAGCCCUGGCAGGUGAUUGGUGCUUUAUGAAUGCUUGGUAAAUAGAUGAGUGAAUGAAUAAAUGAGGGAACGAAGGGAUGAGUGGAGAGUCCCUGUGCCUGACACACAGUAAGUACCUUGUAAAUGCUUAACAUUUGCCCAUUUAAGCUCCAGUCUCCCCAUGUGUGAUCUGUCUCUCUCCUCCCUCCGUGGGACCAGCUGAGGUUAUGGGGGCAAAGGGGCCUUGGAACAUGCAAAGUGCAAACUCGUGACCGUGUUCUUGAGUUCUGGGUCCAUUCUCGAAGCCACGUAUGGCCUCUCCCCUGGGGGUGCCUGCAGAGCUCACCUGCAGAUUUGUUACUCGUAAGUGUCGUACACCAAGAGGGACAACAGCAGCCCCAUCUUUCCAGUGCUUUUGCAGCUGAUGUAAGCACAAGAAACUCAGGUGAAGAAAAUGGCAAAGCACUCGAGAUCAGCCACAAAACCCAAGUCAGGGCUUUAUUUGAUCUGUAAUGGGAAGGAAAAAAAAUCCCCAAACUUUUGUGGUGAUAGGAAGACCGAAUAGUAAGAAAUAAAACCAGCACUUUGGCAUAACUCAGUUGAAAAGGACGCUUGAACCCAUACUCUCAUGAAGAGACCUUCACAUUCCAAAGGCAAACGGCUGAUUCCUGCCCACGCCAAGACCACUUCCUCUAGAAAUUUUGGUUGCCUGUAGGAUGGAAAAAUCAUCUCCUGGUUUCUGGCCUGACAGCAGUGAGAACAUACAACCCUAUGACUGCCCCCAGUUGCUGAGAAGUGCCGGAUAAUGCCCCUCUCCUCUUCUUUCCAGCAAGACGGCCCAACUGAGGCCUUCACAGCCCAGUCUGGGACUCAGGUCCAGGCAGGAGAAAGGUUCACAGGGAAGCAGCUGUUCAUUUGGCAAAAAAGCCUCCUGGAGGAAACACUGACGUUAAAUUGCAACAGGGAAACAAUGUAGGGGAUAGGUGUGUUCUGGCAAGAGAAGGGCUGCAAGGAAGGAGUGUGCUGCCUCUGAGGGUGCAGGAGCACAGCCAGCUGCACAGGGGCCCAGAAGACGACUGCUCUUGCGACUGUCCUGGGCUGUGAGAAUGCCUGUCCCCAACAACAGAAAUCAAAUCAGGACACUUGCAGCUAGUCCCCACCCAUCUGUUCAUCCCUGUAUCCACCUAUUCGCCCAUCUACCCAUCUAACCACCCACCCAUCCACCUAUCAUCCAUCUAUCCAUCCAGCCAUCCAUCCACCCAUCCAUCCAUCCACCCACCCAUCCAUCUAUCCAGAAAUCUAUUCAUCCACCCACCCGCCCGCUUAUCUAUCUAUCCAUCCAUCCAUCCAUCCAUCCAUCCAUCCAACUAUUUAUCCAUCCAUCCACCUAUUCUUCUUUCCAUCCAUCCAUCCACCCAUCCACCUAUUCAUCCAUCCAUCUACCUAUUGAUCCAUUCAUCCACCUAUCCAUCCAUCCAUCCAUCCGUCCAUCCAUCCAUCCAUCCACCUAUUCAUCCAUCCAUCCACCUAUCCAUCCAUCCAUCCAUCCAUCCAUCCAUUUAUCCACCCAUCCAUUUAUCCAUCCAUCAAUUUGCCCAGACACCUGCCUGUCCAUUCGUCUAUCUAUCCACAUGCCCAUCCAUUCUUUCAUCCAUCUUUUAACCCAUCUCUCACCUAUCCAACUGUUGAUCCAUACAUUCAUCAGUUUGUCUGUUUGUCCAUCCAUUCAUGCAUCCAUCCACCUAACUACUGAUUUAUCCAUUCAUCCACUCAUCUGUUUGGUUUGAGCUUCCCUAGAAAAUAAUGAUGAUGGUGGUGGUGAAGAUGGUGAUGGUGAUGGUGAUAAUGAUAGUGAUGAUAUGGAUGAUAUAUUAUAUGUGAUAUGUGAUAGUGCUGAUAUGGAUGGAGGGAAGGUUCUAGGGUGAGGCUGUCCAGGUUGAUUCUGGCUCUCUUGUACCAGUGAGGUGACUUUGGGCAGCCACUUCUUUUUUCUGGGCCUUGGUUUCCCUAACUGUGAAUUGCAGCUAAUCUUUGUGACUGACUCCCAGGUUUGUUUGUGAGGAAAUGAUGAGCCAGCACAUGUGAAGUAUGGUGUAUACCUUCAAUAAAUGUGUUUGGAUAAAUAAAUGAGUGCCUCCAGCCCCUGAGUGAAGUUAAAGGAUAAAUCAAUAAUUGUGGUCACUUUUGGAGUAGGGAAUGAGAGAGGAGCUUAGGAAUUCAUUCAUUCAUUUACGCAUUUACUUACACAUUCAUUCAACAAGUGCUGAGGCUGACUGUUGCCGGGCCCUGUCUUAGAUAUUGGGGGACACAGAUGAGAAAGGGCUGUACCCUCAUGGAGCUUCCCGCCUGGUUAGGGCAGGCAGGUGAGGUGGCGAGCAGCUGGUGCUCAUCCAGAUAAUAACUGCAUUGGCAAAUAUAAGAGAGGAGCAAUGCCUGGAGCAGACCGGGGUGUGGGAGAAAGCAUGGGGGGCUUCACAAAGGAGGUGGCAUCUGAGUGUAUGUGAGGUUUACCUGAGAGGUGACCAGGCUGUGUGUUGGAAGCGGGGCUCCAAACAGAGGAAAGCUUGCAGUCAAGGGGGCGCUGGCGAUGAGAGACAUCUGAGUGACCUCAGACAUAUGGCAUCACCCUGGCCCAGGAGGUUCAUCAGCCCCCUUCUUCGGUGUUCUCAGAAGUAAAUAUAAAAUAUUUAGAGCAGAAAAGUUUCUCAUGCAUGGUAGCUAA